rnacentral:rRNA from 1 species
UGAGGAAUAUUGGUCAAUGGACGAGAGUCUGAACCAGCCAAGUAGCGUGCAGGAUGACGGCCCUAUGGGUUGUCAACUGCUUUUGUUUGGGAAUAAUCGACAUUACGUGUAAUGUUUUGCAUGUACCAUUCGAAUAAGGACCGGCUAAUUCCGUGCCAGCAGCCGCGGUAAUACGGAAGGUCCAGGCGUUAUCCGGAUUUAUUGGGUUUAAAGGGAGUGUAGGCGGUUGGUUAAGCGUGUUGUGAAAUGUAGAUGCUCCACAUCUGACUUGCAGCGCGAACUGGCUGACUUGAGUACACACAACGUAGGCGGAAUUCAUGGUGUAGCGGUGAAAUGCUUAGAUAUCAUGAAGAACUCCGAUUGCGAAGGCAGCUUACGGGAGUGUUACUGACGCUUAAGCUCGAAGGUGCGGGUAUCGAACAGG